AGAAUCAACGCUGGCGGCGUGCCUAACACAUGCAAGUCGAACGCGGUUACCCCGCAAGGGGUGACUGAGUGGCAAACGGGUGAGUAACGCGUGGGUGACCUACCUUCGAGUGGGGGAUAACGUUUCGAAAGGAACGCUAAUACCGCAUGACAUCCUGCCUUCGGACAGGCGGAGAUCAAAGCCGGGGAUCGCAAGACCUGGCGCCUAAAGAGGGGCCCGCGUCCGAUUAGCUAGUUGGUGGGGUAACGGCUCACCAAGGCGACGAUCGGUA
rnacentral:rRNA from 1 species